UCUAUUUAUGGUGAUACACAUGACUAUGUUAGACUCUAACUGUGCCUUUACCUUCUAGAAUAAUGAAUUUGCUAUUAAAGAGAACAAGACUUCUUGGACCAUAUGCAUUCCCCACAAUAUAAUCCUGCAACGUGGACUCUGGAGAUGGCCUUAAGUUUCCUGGUACAUAGAAUUCUCAGAAGAAUUCUCAGAAAAACACAGGAGAGAAUAAAAGCCCAAACCUUCCUUGUUGGAUUUGAUUGCUCGCCGCAUUCAUCAAAGUGGAAGCCUAAAACUAGAGAAGCCGAUGAGGAAAUUCACAAAGAG